rnacentral:rRNA from 1 species
UACGUAGGGUGCGAGCGUUGUCCGGAAUUAUUGGGCGUAAAGGGCUCGUAGGCGGUUUGUCGCGUCGGGAGUGAAAUCACUGGGCUUAACCGAGUGCUUGCUUUCGAUACGGGCAGACUUGAGGCAUUCAGGGGAGAACGGAAUUCCUGGUGUAGCGGUGAAAUGCGCAGAUAUCAGGAGGAACACCCGGUGGCGAAGGCGGUUCUCUGGGAAUGUUCUGACGCUGAGGAGCGAAAGUGUGGGGAGCGAACAGG